AAAGCAGGCACUGAAAGCUCGCGGACAGGUUACAGACCUCUGUUCCUCGUUACCAUAACACUGAAGGCUCAUCCUUUCCCAAACACAAGAGCGAAUCUGUUCUCUCCUGCUCGCCCACUGUUGUUUGUGCUGGAAAGAACCUGGGCCCAGCCCAGAGCCACGUUGCAGGGCUCAGGACUGCUCUGAAACACUGCCACCAAGUGGCGUGAUGAGGUACGACAAUUACGCAGUAAGGGCAACAGUACUCCAGGCUUUAGAAGCUCAAAGGAGAGGGGUGGCAAAAAAUCAGGCACAAAGACAGUAGCCGGCUUGGACAUGGCUAAAUAGUGCAGGCGACAGGAAAAAGGGGCGGCGGGGGGCGGGGGAGCUGGAGCGUGAAGAGAGAAAUUAAAAGCAAUGAAUUGGUAGGCGUGAGCAGUUUUCCCUGGAAGCUGGAGAUGCAGGCAGGAUGAGCUUCGAGUCAGCCUCUGUUUGGAUGGCUUAGUCUGGCUUGCAUCUGGAUUCUUUUUUAUUUUUUUUUCAUUUUUAAAAUUUUUUUUCUUUUCAUUUUACAUUCCAACCACAGUUCUCCCUCCCUCCCCUCCUCCCAGAACCUCCCUCCCCCGCCUCCUCCCACAUAGGUCUUCAGUCAAGGGUAUACGCAGUAGCUGCUCCCUUCUAGAACCUCCAAGUGUCUGGAUUCUUAAGGAUCCCGGAGCUCUGUUGAGUUCAGGAAGUCACCGUGCCUCUGUUUCCUUGCUUUGUGGGCUGAGUUAGACCUCUUAAGUUUCCCUUCAGUUGAAACAUUGUAUGGAUUUGUUGUUGAGAAAUGCAAUACAGAUUGCAUACAGUUGGCAAUCCCCAAAUCGUUUGUGUGACGUCUGGUUGCUGUACCGGGAGACUUAAAAACCUCCAUCUUGCUCGUCUUCAGCAUCCUGUAGCUCAAGACUCCUCGGGAAAGUGUAGAAGAGGGCCCCCCAGGAUGUGGUAACUGCUAUCAAGCUUCCCAGUACCAGCUGAGGAGAGCCAGCUCCCGGAGACCUGGAAACUUGUAGUAUUUCAGGGCACCGGAGCUGUUGGGUAGUGGGAGCAUUGGUAAGGAACUGGUAUGGAGUGAAGCUGGACUCUCAGAACACUGAAGCAACACCGGAACCUAAUGGGUUAGCAAUUGAGUAGACCACUCUUUUCUGUAAGAUUCACAUCUUAAAAGAAAACUUUCUGUUAGAAGGCUCCCAAGAAAUCAGAUACUGUUAGCUGGAAUGCAAGAAUGUGGGCAAAUAGGAAAAUUCCUAGGUCCCCCAACCCUGUCUGAUGAUUCUUACCCUUUGUCACUUCUUGGGAAAAAUCCUAUGUGAUGGCUGUUUUAAACACUGGUCCUGGAGAAGAUGCGGGCUCCGGCUCUGAAGAAACCCAUGUUACAUUUCCUCCUCCAUUUAGGAUUUGAUGGUCCUGCUUAUCUAGAGUGCUCACAUUGUGAACACCGUGGCGGGCUGGGGAUUUUAAUUCUGCCUUGAUGGAAUUUGAACCUAAACAUGAUGCCAGUGCCACUUUAUAAACUGGGAAUCAUUAAGCUGGCUACAAAUACCUCGAGGGGUCCUUGCUCGUUCAACAUAAAUCAGUAAAAUGACAGGCAAUUGACUUUGAAGACAGCUCUCAUGCGGCUGAGUGGCUGGAGCUGCUGGAAGCAGAUGAGGCCAUUUUCCUGUAAACAUGCUUUGGAUUAGCACCAGAGUAAACAGCAGAUUGGGCUGUGUCUUCCAGACUCCAGCCUACCCUGGAUCUUUUAUUAGGCAGAAACCAACAUGCCCCUCAGGGCAGGGAAGUUGCCAAUUGGAAGAACUAAGUUUGGAUUUCAACUACUGAUGGGUCUAAAAUUCUUGCUUGGGGCCAUAUGGAGUGGAUAAGCCGGGAGGAAAUGAUACCGGCCUCUGUUUCUGCUCAACUCUCUCCACUGGGUCAGUGGACCCUUUGAAGUAGCCCUUUCUUUACCUCAGAUUCUGACAUGAAUAACUGAUCACCUUCCAGUCUACACAAGAUAAGGAGCCGUGGCUCAAAACUGCAACUCUCUUAAGUAUAUGAGAGCCAGACCACCCAGGGCACUGUUCCAAGAAGGGAGAGAAUUUCCCACAUGUGUUCAGCAUUUUAUUCUUCCCCCAACACUUGGCUCUGUAUUACUGUGUUUAAAUUGGAUAAUGUCUACAUGAAAGGGCUAUGUCAAUGGUAUCAGUAACAAAAAAGAUGCCACCCACCUGGGGAUGUCAAGAGAGAAAAUAUAGGGUGCUAGACAAAUGGCUCUGUGGCUAAGAGCACUGGCUGCUCUUACAGACAACCAAGGUUUCGUCCCCAGCACCCACAUGGGUGCUCAAAACCAUCUGUAAUUCCAGCUCCAGGGGAUCUGGCACCCUCUCCUGGUCUCUGUUGACACUGCAAGUACACAGUGCCCAUACAUAUAUGCAAACAAACACUUUCACACAUAAAAUAAAAAUAAGGAAAGCCAGGGUGGGUUCAGAGGGAGAAUAUGAAUGAGAAUACGACAAGUCCACUCUUGAAGGUUCUGUCUGGUGUCACUUGUGGCUCUAGACUGGCCACCAAAAAUGCUCCAGGCUGCUGACUAAGAGGGCAGGUUAUAUUUAUAACCAGAGAGAAGGAAAUUAGGUGAAGAAAUUGGAUUGAGGUAGCCACUGUUUGAUUGGUCACAGAUGUGUCUGUCUUAUUUGAACUUCUUGCUGGCUGCUGGUGACAGGCCAAGGCUCUGUGAUUUGUUACAAGGUAGGUUCCACAUCACGCUAGGCUGCAGUUGAGUAUUUGUGCAGAAACCUUUGACCAAACUUAAAAAUACAACCCUGUGCUGGCUAGUUUAAUGUCAGCUAGACACAGGCUAGAGUCAUCAGGGAGGAGGGAAGCUCCAUUGAGAAGAUGCCUCCAUAAGAUCAAGCUGUAGGCAAGCCUGUUGGACAUUUUCCUAAUUCAUGAAGGAUAGCCCAGCCCAUUGUGGGUGGUGCCAUCCCUGGGCUGGUGGUCCUGGGUUCUAUAAGAAAACAGGCUGAGUAAGCCAUGAGGAGCAAGCCAGUGAGCAGCUCCCCUCCAUGGCCUCUGCAUCAGCUCCUGCCCCCAGGUUCCUGCCCUGCUUGAGUUUCUAUCCUGACUUCCUUCAGUGAUGAACAGCAAUAUGGAAGUGUAAGCUGAAUAAACCCUUUCCUCCCCAAGUUGCAUUUGGUCAUGGUGUUUCAUUACAGCAAUAGUAACCUGAACUAAGAUACAAUUCUAGGUAGCUUUAAUACAAAUGGCUUCAACUGGUAUAUCCACAGUGGAGACAAGAGCCACAUUGGGUCCCUCAAAGAUUUCCCAGAGGUGGUCCUGACGUGGGGCCCUUAGGAGCCUUUCUUGAUCUGCUUUGCCACUCUCUCAUUCUCCUGCCUCGCCUCAAAACCACUUACCUUUUUCUCUUGCUUAAUGGCUGUUUAUCAAGAUUUUGGAGAUGCUACCCAGGCUAGGGCAAAAGCCUUAUUGUAUCCCAUAUAUAUGCAUUUUCCUUUUUAAAAAUAUCUGGAAUUAGCUCAUAACCCAUUUCCAUUUUUGGAGAAGACCUUAGUGAAUCUUCCUGGUGGGAUGUUGUAUUCAGCUCCAAGUGUGUCAAGACAGGGGCUGCCACUGUUGUAGCAGCUGGGGUUACUUCCCUCCCAUGGAGCCCACAUCAGGGGCAGCAGGUACAAAGCCUUCAUUCAAAGAAGACCUUUUGAGGUGACUAAUUGAGCAAGGAGGGAUUGGAGGGUCAGUCCUCAGACCCAGAAGAAAUCAGGGUGUCCUGGGCCGAUAUGUGAUUGAAUAACAUUGUGGAGAGAAAAGGGGAAGAGGCAUGCAGAGAAUUUGGAAGCUGUAGUAGCAUCUUGACUUGCCAGGGAAUUUGAGUUAGUGGCCACACCCCUUUGGGCUUGGCUUCAGGUGAGGACAUGACCUGAAGGUAGAGAAGCCAGGGGAGGGGGUGUGUACUCUCUCUCCCUACCGUUCCCAGAAUUCUCCUUGUCUCCUAGACCCGCCUAUCUUCCUGCCUCUAUUGGCCAAACAGUGUUUUAUUCAGCAACCAAUAAGAGAAAUAUAUAUACAGAAGAACAUCCCCCAUCAGGAAGCAAGAUGAAGACUAGCUGACCACUCAGCUUCUGUGAUCACCUGACACUCAAAGUUUCAGAGGUUUAGUCCGCCGUCAUCAUGGUGGGAAACACAGUGGCGUGCAAGCAGAUAUGGCGCUAGAGAAGGGGCUGAGAGUUCUACAUCCUGAUCAGCAGGCAACAGGAAGUGAACUGUGUGCUGGAAGUAGCUUGAGCAUAGGAGAUCACAAAGCCCACCCCAUACAGUGAGACACUUCUUCCAGCAAGACCACACCUACGCCAACAAAGUUACACCUCCUAACUGUGCCACUCCCUAUGGGGGCCAUUUUCUUUCAAACCACCAUACCUGUGUUAUAUAAGAAUGUAGGCUGAACAAACCAUGAAGAGCAAGCCAGGAAACAAUGUUCCUUCGUGGUCUCUACUUGAAUUCCUGUUUCUGGGUUUCUGCUUUGGGUCCCUGUCUUUGUGUCCCUUGAUGAUGUACUAUAACCUGUAAGCUGAAAUAAACCUUGUUCCUGAAAAAUUGCUUUUGGUCAAAGUUUUAUCAUAAGAUCAGACAGCAAACUAGGACAGUGACCAGUGCUGACAAUAUAGCCCUCAAAACGUGUCCCUGCCAUUGAGUGACACAUGAUUAUCUACUUUUUUUUGUCAGGAUCGGCUAGAAUUCUGGUCAAUUUUUUGUUUAUCAGUUACUGCCUUUGACUCUUGAUAGUCCCUUAUGAUGAAGUUUUCUUCUUACUGGACCAUGUCUUCUAGUUGAUGGGCUGGGGGUUUUCUCAUCUCUUAAAUGUUCAAAAAUAUCUGAAAUUUCCCCUCAUAGUUGGAUAAUUGGG
ensembl:lncRNA